rnacentral:rRNA from 1 species
UAAAACGUAGGAGGCGAGCGUUAUCCGGAUUUACUGGGCGUAAAGCGCACGCAGGUGGCUUUGCAAGUCGGACAUGAAAGCUCCUGGCUUAACUGGGAGAGGUUGUUCGAUACUGCGGGGCUUGAGGUUGGGAGAGGGACGUGGAAUUCCCGGUGUAGUGGUGGAAUGCGUAGAUAUCGGGAGGAACACCAGUGGCGCAAGCGGCGUCCUGGCCCACACCUGACGCUGAGGUGCGAAAGCGUGGGGAGCAAACAGG